ACGAGGCUGAAUCCAGCUUCUUAUUCGCAGCUUCUUAUUGACGCUAUGCGGUCCACCUUAAAAACCGCGACGCUUCCGUUUUUCAGCUUCUUAUUCGCGCUCAUCUUAGGGACCGUGUUUAUUUAUGUUUCUUUUUGAAAAAUGAAAAAUGCUAAAUGAAACUGAUAUAAGAUAGAAAACGGGCUGCAAGCAUGAAAUCUAAUUGCAUCAUUGAUUAAUUAUUGACAGUGCCAUCGUUUGAGUACAAUAUAUUUUUGUUUUUUUCCAGAAAGUCCUUUAUGAAGACUUCACAUGACCCACCUAUGAAUAGACAGUGCCUGCCUCAGCAAGGAUUUCAGAUACAAAAUAAUUGGUCUAUUAAUUCAAGUUGUAAAAGUUAAUGCAUAUGUUUUAUCUGCAAAUACUACAAUUUGUAUUAGAUUUUAGUAGCUUUUUCUGACACCCACGCCUGUAAAUACAAUUCAAGUUUUGUUAAACCUAUUGUUUCAAAGAACAGACAAAGCAACUUUUUAUACACCUUUUUAUACAUCUUAUACAAAUAAAUGUGAAUUGAACUGUUGCAUAAUUGAAUACUGUACCAUGUUCUCUCUAAUAUUACACAACAGGUUAAUAGUAUACGUCUAUACACGCGUCUGCAUAUGUAUAAAUAUGUAUAAUUCUUUCCCAUUGAGAAGACAGACCAAAAAACGGUCAAAAGACAGUCAUUUCAAUAAAUGCCCAGUUGGAGGUGCUAUAUGCCAA
rnacentral:lncRNA from 1 species